GAUGAACGCUGGCGGCGUGCCUAAUACAUGCAAGUCGAGCGAACGGACGAGAAGCUUGCUUCUCUGAUGUUAGCGGCGGACGGGUGAGUAACACGUGGAUAACCUACCUAUAAGACUGGGAUAACUUCGGGAAACCGGAGCUAAUACCGGAUAAUAUUUUGAACCGCAUGGUUCAAAAGUGAAAGACGGUCUUGCUGUCACUUAUAGAUGGAUCCGCGCUGCAUUAGCUAGUUGGUAAGGUAACGGCUUACCAAGGCAACGAUGCAUAGCCGACCUGAGAGGGUGAUCGGCCACACUGGAACUGAGACACGGUCCAGACUCCUACGGGAGGCAGCAGUAGGGAAUCUUCCGCAAUGGGCGAAAGCCUGACGGAGCAACGCCGCGUGAGUGAUGAAGGUCUUCGGAUCGUAAAACUCUGUUAUUAGGGAAGAACAUAUGUGUAAGUAACUGUGCACAUCUUGACGGUACCUAAUCAGAAAGCCACGGCUAACUACGUGCCAGCAGCCGCGGUAAUACGUAGGUGGCAAGCGUUAUCCGGAAUUAUUGGGCGUAAAGCGCGCGUAGGCGGUUUUUUAAGUCUGAUGUGAAAGCCCACGGCUCAACCGUGGAGGGUCAUUGGAAACUGGAAAACUUGAGUGCAGAAGAGGAAAGUGGAAUUCCAUGUGUAGCGGUGAAAUGCGCAGAGAUAUGGAGGAACACCAGUGGCGAAGGCGACUUUCUGGUCUGUAACUGACGCUGAUGUGCGAAAGCGUGGGGAUCAAACAGGAUUAGAUACCCUGGUAGUCCACGCCGUAAACGAUGAGUGCUAAGUGUUAGGGGGUUUCCGCCCCUUAGUGCUGCAGCUAACGCAUUAAGCACUCCGCCUGGGGAGUACGACCGCAAGGUUGAAACUCAAAGGAAUUGACGGGGACCCGCACAAGCGGUGGAGCAUGUGGUUUAAUUCGAAGCAACGCAAAGAACCUUACCAAAUCUUGACAUCCUUUGACAACUCUAGAGAUAGAGCUUUCCCCUUCGGGGGACAAAGUGACAGGUGGUGCAUGGUUGUCGUCAGCUCGUGUCGUGAGAUGUUGGGUUAAGUCCCGCAACGAGCGCAACCCUUAAGCUUAGUUGCCAUCAUUAAGUUGGGCACUCUAAGUUGACUGCCGGUGACAAACCGGAGGAAGGUGGGGAUGACGUCAAAUCAUCAUGCCCCUUAUGAUUUGGGCUACACACGUGCUACAAUGGACAAUACAAAGGGCAGCGAAACCGCGAGGUCAAGCAAAUCCCAUAAAGUUGUUCUCAGUUCGGAUUGUAGUCUGCAACUCGACUACAUGAAGCUGGAAUCGCUAGUAAUCGUAGAUCAGCAUGCUACGGUGAAUACGUUCCCGGGUCU
rnacentral:rRNA from 1 species